GACCACCAAAGACUCCUGAGGAGGAAAGGGCAUCUUAAAAGCGGCGUUCUGGCCCACUCUUACAAUCACAGGUUUGGAGAACUUGUGAAGAUCGUCUGGGUCAAAUUCAGGUACCGUCGCAGUCCAUGCUCAUCUUCACCGCUAAUUCAGCCGGAUUUCCACGAAGAGCAUAAACAUCAGAGAGUCCACACUAUUCAAUAUGUGGCAUACCGCCUCCUGCAUCUGCAAGUGGUGGAUCAAGCCUUUCAUAGCCAAUCGCAGACUCAGAGGGCUUGGAAAGCCCCAUGUCAUUCUUCGUAUAGACCCGGAACUUAUACUCCCUUCCCGGCAUGAUAUUG